GCUGGGAAUGGUGGCACAUACCUGUAAUCCCAGCCACUCAGGAAGCUGAGGCAGGAGGAUUGCAAGUUCAAGGUCAUCCUCAGCAAUUUAGCAUGACCCUAAGUAUUUAGCAAGAUCCCCUCUCAA
rnacentral:sRNA from 1 species